UACGGAGGGUGCAAGCGUUGUCCGGAAUCACUGGGCGUAAAGGGCGCGUAGGCGGCUCAUGAAGGCUGUGGUGAAAGUCCGGGGCUCAACCUCGGAUCGGCCGUGGCGACUCGUGGGCUGGAGCACUGUAGAGGCGGGUGGAAUUCCGGGUGUAGCGGUGGAAUGCGUAGAGAUUGGGAAGAACACCAGUGGCGAAGGCGGCCCGCUGGGCAGUGGCUGACGCUGAAGCGCGACAGCGUGGGGAGCAAACAGG
rnacentral:rRNA from 1 species